UACGAAGGGGGCUAGCGUUGUUCGGAAUUACUGGGCGUAAAGGGCGCGUAGGUGGCUUGGCAAGUUGGGUGUGAAAGCCCAGGGCUCAACCCUGGAAUUGCAUUCAAGACUGCUUUGCUUGAAUUCGGUAGAGGUUGGUGGAAUUCCCAGUGUAGAGGUGAAAUUCGUAGAGAUUGGGAAGAACACCCGUGGCGAAGGCGGCCAACUGGACCGACAUUGACACUGAGGCGCGAAAGCGUGGGGAUCAAACAGG
rnacentral:rRNA from 1 species